rnacentral:rRNA from 1 species
GUCUGGAAAGGCGCGCGAUACAGGGUGACAGCCCCGUACACAAAAAUGCACAUACUGUGAGCUCGAUGAGUAGGGCGGGACACGUGGUAUCCUGUCUGAAUAUGGGGGGACCAUCCUCCAAGGCUAAAUACUCCUGACUGACCGAUAGUGAACCAGUACCGUGAGGGAAAGGCGAAAAGAACCCCGGCGAGGGGAGUGAAAAAGAACCUGAAACCGUGUACGUACAAGCAGUGGGAGCCUCUUUAUGGGGUGACUGCGUACCUUUUGUAUAAUGGGUCAGCGACUUAUAUUCUGUAGCAAGGUUAACCGAAUAGGGGAGCCGAAGGGAAACCGAGUCUUAACUGGGCGUUAAGUUGCAGGGUAUAGACCCGAAACCCGGUGAUCUAGCCAUGGGCAGGUUGAAGGUUGGGUAACACUAACUGGAGGACCGAACCGACUAAUGUUGAAAAAUUAGCGGAUGACUUGUGGCUGGGGGGGAAAGGCCAAUCAAACCGGGAGAUAGCUGGUUCUCCCCGAAAGCUAUUUAGGUAGCGCCUCGUGAAUUCAUCUCCGGGGGUAGAGCACUGUUUCGGCAAGGGGGUCAUCCCGACUUACCAACCCGAUGCAAACUGCGAAUACCGGAGAAUGUUAUCACGGGAGACACACGGCGGGUGCUAACGUCCGUCGUGAAGAGGGAAACAACCCAGACCGCCAGCUAAGGUCCCAAAGUCAUGGUUAAGUGGGAAACGAUGUGGGAAGGCCCAGACAGCCAGGAUGUUGGCUUAGAAGCAGCCAUCAUUUAAAGAAAGCGUAAUAGCUCACUGGUCGAGUCGGCCUGCGCGGAAGAUGUAACGGGGCUAAACCAUGCACCGAAGCUGCGGCAGCGACGCUUAUGCGUUGUUGGGUAGGGGAGCGUUCUGUAAGCCUGCGAAGGUGUACUGUGAGGUAUGCUGGAGGUAUCAGAAGUGCGAAUGCUGACAUAAGUAACGAUAAAGCGGGUGAAAAGCCCGCUCGCCGGAAGACCAAGGGUUCCUGUCCAACGUUAAUCGGGGCAGGG